CCUACGGGAGGCAGCAGUGAGGAAUAUUGGUCAAUGGACGAGAGUCUGAACCAGCCAAGUAGCGUGAAGGAUGACUGCCCUAUGGGUUGUAAACUUCUUUUAUAAAGGAAUAAAACGAGGCACGUGUGCCUUUUUGUAUGUACUUUAUGAAUAAGGAUCGGCUAACUCCGUGCCAGCAGCCGCGGUAAUACGGAGGAUCCGAGCGUUAUCCGGAUUUAUUGGGUUUAAAGGGUGCGUAGAUGGGUUGUUAAGUCAGUUGUGAAAGUUUGCGGCUCAACCGUAAAAUUGCAAUUGAUACUGGCAGUCUUGAGUACAGUUGAGGUAGGCGGAAUGCGUGGUGUAGCGGUGAAAUGCAUAGAUAUCACGCAGAACCCCGAUUGCGAAGGCAGCAUACCGGUGCACAACUGACGCUCAGGCACGAAAGCGUGGGUAUCGAACAGGAUUAGAUACCCCGGUAGUC
rnacentral:rRNA from 1 species